rnacentral:rRNA from 1 species
UACAGAGGGUGCAAGCGUUAAUCGGAAUUACUGGGCGUAAAGCGCGCGUAGGCGGCUUUGCAAGUCGGGUGUGAAAUCCCCAGGCUUAACCUGGGAACUGCAUUCGAGACUGCAUUGCUAGAGUAUGGGGAGAGGGAAGUGGAAUUUCCGGUGUAGCGGUGAAAUGCGUAGAUAUCGGAAGGAACAUCAGUGGCGAAAGCGACUUCCUGGACCAAUACUGACGCUCAUGUGCGAAAGCGUGGGGAGCAAACAGG